GGGGACUUAGCUCAGUGGUAGAGCGCUUGCCUAGCAAGCACAAGGCCCUGGGUUCGGUCCCCAGCUCCG
rfam:Rattus norvegicus chromosome 5, whole genome shotgun sequence.